GACAGAGGGGCAAGCGUUGCUCGGAAUCAGCUGGGCGUAAAGAGCUCGUAGGCGGUCUGUCGCGUCGGCCUGUGAAAACCCGGAGCUCAACUCCGGGCCUGCAGUCGAUACGGGCAAACUGGAGAUGUUGCAGGGGAGACUGGAAUUCCUGGUGUAGCGGUGAAAUGCGCAGAUAGUCAAGGAGGAACACCCGGUGGCGAAGGCGGGUCUCGUGGGCAACAACGAUGACGCUGGAGGAAGCGAAAGCGUGGGAGCGAACAGGA
rnacentral:rRNA from 1 species